UUGCUUCAUUUCAGAUAAACAAAAUAGACAAGAUGACGAAAACUGUUCAGUUAGUAGUGAGAUUGAUGUUUUAACAUACCUUCUACAGGUUCAUUCUCUUCGACAGACGAUGCUUCCUGAAGGGAAAUGCUACUGGCCUUGGUCCACAGCAAACUGUCAAUAUCUGAAUAGUUCAACAGAAACAAAACCAGUUAAUUAUACAGACUAAAGCAAAAUAACUCAAAAGCGAAAACAACAUGGACGUUAAAGAAUUUUGUGCGUGUUAAAAAUACAGGAGGUAUUUUUUAAUAGCCGAAAGCUACCCCCGUAACAAUGCAGAAAUAUGGAUGCACGUUAGCCCAAAGCAGACGAAAACUGACACGACCUGGAACUGAACUUCACUUCAUCAAUCAGCUCCCGUCAUAAGGUUCAAGAUUGAUCAUUCUAUUUCCCAGGUGGAAAAUCGAAGAUGGCAAAAACUCUAUACCUGGUCGGAUGGGCAGUCUGGAUUCAAUGGCCGCCGAGUCCUCACCGCUGUCCCCUGAGUUGAGGAAGAGGAACAAACGGAAGGAGACUACACAUUAUCAACGGGCAAGUCUUGGUCGCUACACAACAUACACACAAUCUGGCUUGGCUUACCUGGAUUUCUGCGAACCGCCCGUCCUCAUUGCAUUCGGGAAUGAACGUCUCGCCAGUAGGUGCCGCCUUUUUGCCCAGUCCGCUAGCACCGGUUCCUGCUUGCUGCGUUUCCCCAUCCAACACAAGAAGAGGAGGAUGGUCGUCCGGCAGGUUGAAUAGGAGCUGAAAAACACCGAAGGAAGAACACCUGGGUUUCCCCUCCUCCUCGAGAAGAGGGGAAGAAAAAAAAAAUCUUUUUCUUCUUCUCACACAAGGCACCCGGCACCGGCAACAUCUACUACUACACACACGGGGGCGAGGUUGGAACUUUGUCUUCUUUCAUCUAAAAGAGGAAAUCACAAAACUAGUGGUGGGUGACCUUCGCUAUUAGAUUGUCUAUUAAGAAUCCCAAAACUGCAACCCCCCUGUGGAGGUUUUCCCUUAGCUGCGGCGGAAGAGAACAAGGAAGCGUCCCCGCUGCAUCCGAGCGCGCACUCCCAAAAUCACAAACGUCCAACAACAACAAAAGAUGAAUAUCUAGACGAGACGAAACUUGUCCAUUCGCGUCACGUUUUCACAUCCGGAAUACCCAAUCUCCCCUCCAGAAAGGGAAAAAAAAAAAUAAAUAUCAUGACGGAAUGGAAUGUUUCCCUUCUUUUCCAGAAUAGAUUGCGUCUUCGAGAAUCAUAACAUUAAUAGCCACAAGAAAAGAAAAAAAUGGUGUCAAUCUAAAAAAAAAGGACCCAUGAUAAAAGAAGAAAAAAAGUGUGAAGAUAUCUGAAGUCGAUAGGCAAAGGCAGUAAUAAUAACCAUUUCACACCACCACAAGAGCGAGAGAGAGAUAAAAGGGGAGCGACCGAUAGGGCCAAGCACCAAGCAAGCCGCCGUAUUUAUAAUGGUAUAAGGGGGCUAUAAGGAGGAGGAGGACGAGGCGGAGCAGUGAGAGAGAGAGAGAGAAAGAAAGAAAAAAUCAACCGGAAUAUUAUAGUACACAACAGGGAAAAAGUGGUCGCGGAGAAGGGGAACGACUUGACUGCGGCAGACAGCAUGGCGUCGGGCCCCCUUUUUCUUUUUUAAUUUUUUUUCCUUCAUCCCAAAAGCGAGAAAAUCCCUUUGAAUUCUUUUGUGUAAAAAAAAAAAAAAAGACACACCAGAAAGUCUCUCAACGACGCAUUUGGACGGGGGGGUUUUUAGGCUGGUGGUGUCCAUCGGUUUGCUACACAGAGAAUCAAGUGACCUUUUGACCCUUAGUCAUAAAAAAAAAAAAGAAUAAAAGACAAGAAAAUUCUUUUUCGGUUGUUGAGACGGCAGGGAGCCCCACACUCUCUCCGGAGACGAUCGUUUGGUAUCGACCUCUUCUUUUAUAUGUGCACAUGGAUAGUACUUGUAUAUUAUUCGACUCCCCCCCCCUCCCCUUCUUCCUCAAUCUUCAGGUGGCAAUUGCUAUACAUCCCACAAAAAGAAAGAAAAAAGUAGAAGAAGACCGCUUUUGGUUUCUUGCUUUUUAGAGAGGAUUUAUUCCACAGAUGCAACACCUGCAACACACCACGCUAUAUAACCCAGAGGCCGCGCUCUUUAACAAUCAAUGCCCUUGAUCCCUCCCCUCUCAGACGUUUGCCCCGAUCAGAAAGAAAAUAAAGCCAUGCCAACGAAAAGUGAAGAAAAAAAUAUUUUUAACAAGCGCAUUUUCACACCUACUAACAAGCAAAGAAUUCCCGGGGUUUAAAAAAUAAAAAACGAUACGGCUAAAUCGUGCUUGUUUCCCGAAUAGUUUGCAGUUAAAAGGAUUGGAGGGGUGGGGGGGGGGGAUAAAUUCGGGAUUAAUGACUUAAGAAUGUUUGGGGGUAAAUGAGCCGAGGAUUAAGUGGAAGGGAACGAAGCUAAAUGGGAUAGCGAAGUCAGUAGAGUUGGCACGGGUAGGUGUGAAAUGGUUAAGUGGAUAAUGAUGUACUCUUACCUUUGGCACUAGUGGAAGGUGUGAUGAUACAACGUUCAACGUCCAGCAGAAGGUUAACAGAAAAAACCACAAAUUCCGGAUCAACAUUUUGUCGUUUCCGCAAUUUCUGUGUUCCUUUUUUUUUUCUAUUAACGAAAUUUCUUUUUUUCUCUGAAUGAAUGAAAAAAUCACACACACUCACACACAAAGAUGAAACACGAUCUUGUUGUUGCACUCUAAACGCGAUAGAGUCGAUGAUUAGAUUGAUGGUGAAAGUCGGUGCGGGGGAUGACACACGUUGCAAAUGUCUGUUAUUUCAAAGUCAAGUAGCCGGAAGAUUCUCCACACACACACACAAAAAAUGUGUUGACGAAAGAGAGGGUUAAUCUAAUAGUCGUCUUCGGCGUGUGUGUUGUAUGUUGUGUGUACUGGUGUUUUCGUGUGGCCGCUUUAGGAGUUGGGCGCGACGGGGACCUGUGUCGCCGGUCUGGAGCCUGCGGAGACACUGACAGAACGAUCAAGUGUGCUGUUGCUCCAAGUGGUGGUAGUGGUGGUGGGUAGUAGUGGCCAACAAACCAGGCAGAGAAAGAGGGAGGGAGAAUAGAUGAAGAAGAAGAAGAAAAAAAAAAGAAAAAAAGAGGUGGGUGGUGAUUGGGGGUGGGUUGCAGCUAGAGGAGGAGUAGGAGGAGGAGGCAAAAGAAGAAGAAGAAGAAGAAGAAAAAAAAAGAAUCGUAUACAGCAGAUUUAUUUCUUCUUUUCUGGUUGUCUUCGACUCGGAUCUCGUCUUCUUCUUCUGUUGGUGCUGCUUCGUCUACUACUCAUUCACCUUGACUCACUCGAUGACUGGUUAAGAUAACCCCGUUCAGAUGUGUUUUCUUUUUUCCCCUUCGUCUUUCUUUUUUUUUUGUGUGUUUUCCUUCUGUUAACUUUUUCUUCUUUUCCAAACAAAAAAAAGUUAUAAAAAGGAACAGAUAUUCAAGGAGACAAAAAAGAAGAAAACUGGAUGGCACACGCACAGUCUGCAGGACUAAAUUCCGAGAUUUUUUUCCUUUUUUUUUUUUCCUUCUUUUUAACUGUUGUGUCACAUACCCAAAAAGAUGGGAAAACUAAGGCGCAGUUUAUUAUUUAGGUAGUUAGCCAAAAAAAAAAAAAAAAAAAACUGAUCACGCGCCAGGGACACAACUGUGGGGACACACGACUAACUUGAACCAUAAAUUCCAAUGGCGCUAUUUAUUAGCAACGACACGAAGCAGCAGAAGAACUCCGCCCUGAAUAUGUUUUAUUAUCUUGCCUUUUUGGAGAGCAACAAGAAAAUCUUUUAAUGGUUCCCGUUUUUUUUUUUUUUCUUUGACAAAUCACGGAGACGCCAUGUUGCGUGUAAAUUUGCUUUACAUGGAAGAGACACUAAAAAAAAAAAGCAGUAAAUCUACUUGGACGAGACUUUAUUUCGUGUGACACACGUCAUCCACACUUGAUGGUGUGUUUGUGAACUGUUGGACUGUGUGUGUUUUGAUUCGAUAGACGGCCGUUGUACACAGCUCAAGUGGUCCUCUUCAACUGGUAGUUGGACUUGCCAAGUCACUUGCAUGUCUUGUUUCAUCAGUUUGUUCCGCCUCCUCUUAUUUCUUUUUUUCGCUCAGCUUUUAUUUAUUUUUUUUUCGGUUCUUUUCCGCCCCUCCCAUUUCCAUUUUCUCUCUGUCGCGAACGGUCUUGUGUAUUUGUAUCGAUAUUCUUAAUUCCAUGGUACAUUCUUCCGUUUCCCUUCGUCUCUCUUCUUUUGGGGGUCCAUUCUUGCCACACGGGACCGGCUUCCACCUCUAACGCACGCUCCAUUUACAUCGGUCGGUUCUGUGGAUCUGGAUGAGUUUCCAGCUGAUCGAUUAGUCUGCCCUUCCCUCGCUCUUUUCACUCUUUGGCUCGCUCUCUAAAAGUUAAAAAAAGUACAGAAAAAGAGGGAGGAAGAGAUGUAAAUGAGACACUAUUCAGCUGGUCGUUUACAAAAAGGAAAUCACAAACUCGUGGGAUACGUGGUAUCCUUUUUUGCUCUUGCGUUCACCGUCGUUCCUUUGGCCGGUGGUCAUUAACUCGUUUAUCUGUUGUCAGGUUUCUGUACUGCGCGUGAGUGUGCGUGUGUCCCAGAUCCGGUUAUCGACGAAUUUGCAAAGCGCCCUUCUUAAAUUUAUCCUCGCCUCAAGUCCUAGUAGGGAUCUGCCAAGGAUAUUCGAUCCGGAUCGAUUGGGUUUUGAUUGACGGCACCCCGGCGGAAGCACCCGACAGUCUCCGUCACUGCCCAUAUCGACUACGUAAUAGCGAGCCACCAUCAAGUUGCGUGGAAGCUGAGAUAGAAGAGGAAAACGCCCUUGUGCACGUCCACUAUAAUGGAUUGGCGAUCACGAAAGGGGCGCGCAUGAAGGCAGCCGCCAUUCCGAUGCAUAUUAUGCGCUUGCGUGUGUUGUGUAAAUGUGAGGAUGCUAUACUAGACGUAUACACAAACAACAAUCGACGUAACAAAUGGUUAAACAUGUCGUGCGUUUUAUAUGGUAUCAUCGAGUUUCUUAUUUUACUUUGUCCCUCCCCUUUCGCUUGUUUGUGUUGCGCAGCGGAGCGAUAAUCAUCCCUCAGCGGUUGUUCUUGUUAUCGCGCUAAAAUCCAGGCACAAUCCUUUUGGUACACGCUGUCUUGUACCACCACCCCCCUCCUGGUUUGUCAUUGGGCGGACUUUUGUUUUCAUUUUCAUUUUUUGUUUUUUUUUUUCCUUUUUAAGCUGGGAAAAGGUUGGAAUUGAUGUGUCUUGAUGUUAUUCUUGUUAUUCCCUUCAGCCUUUUUUUUUUUUAAUUUAGACUUGAGAGAAAAAUGCAACAAUUGAAAAAUC